AUUGAACGCUGGCGGAAGGCCUAACACAUGCAAGUCGAACGAGUGGCGGACGGGUGAGUAAUGUAUGGGAAAAUGCCCGAUGGAGGGGGAUAACUAAUGGAAAAGGUAGCUAAUACCGCAUCCCAUCGGAUGUGCCCAGAUGGGAUUAGCGAGUAGGUAGGGUAAUGGCUCACCUACGAGCCGAUCCCUAGCUGGUCUGAGAGGAUGACCAGCCAAACUGGAACGGAGACACGGUCCAGACUCCGACGGGAGGCAGCAGUGGGUAAGAUUGCACAAUGGGCGCAAGCCUGAUGCAGCCAUGCCGGGUGUAUGAAGAAGGCCUUCGGGUUGUAAAGUACUUUCAGCGAGGAGGCGUUACUCGCAGAAGAAGCACCGGCUAACUCCGUGCCAGCAGCCGCGGUAAUUC
rnacentral:rRNA from 1 species